rnacentral:rRNA from 1 species
AAGUCGCCGGUCUCCGGCUUCUAUGCCAAGAAGUUCAUUAAACCCUCCCACCUAGAGGAAGGAGAAGUCGUAACAAGGUUUCCGUAGGUGAACCUGCGGAAGGAUCAUUG